rnacentral:rRNA from 1 species
GAUGAACGCUAGCGGCAGGCCUAAUACAUGCAAGUCGAACGAGAUUCACCUUUCGGGGUGAUGAAAGUGGCGCACGGGUGCGUAACACGUAUGCAACCUACCUUUUAUUGGGGGAUAGCCUUCCGAAAGGGAGAUUAAUACCGCAUAAGACAGCACGAUCGCAUGAAAGAGCUGUUAAAACUUCGGUGAUAAAAGAUGGGCAUGCGUUGCAUUAGCCAGUUGGUAGGUAACGGCUUACCAAGGCAACGAUGCAUAGGGGAUCUGAGAGGAUGGUCCCCCACACGGGAACUGAGAUACGGACCAGACUCCUACGGGAGGCAGCAGUAAGGAAUAUUGGUCAAUGGAGGGAACUCUGAACCAGCCAUGCCGCGUGCAGGAAGACGGCCCUAUGGGUUGUAAACUGCUUUUGUCGGGGAAUAAACCUAUAUACGUGUAUAUAGUUGAAGGUACCCGAAGAAUAAGGAUCGGCUAACUCCGUGCCAGCAGCCGCCGUAAGAC